UACGUAGGCAGCAAGCGUUGUUCGGAAUUACUGGGCGUAAAGAGUGCGUAGGCGGUUAACUAAGUUUGGUGUGAAAUCUCCCGGCUUAACUGGGAGGGUGCGCCGAAAACUGGCUAGCUAGAGUGUGGGAGAGGAUAGUGGAAUUCCUGGUGUAGCGGUGAAAUGCGUAGAUAUCAGGAGGAACACCUGCGGUGUAGACGGCUAUCUGGACCAUGACUGACGCUGAGGCACGAAAGCGUGGGUAGCAAACAGGAUUAGAUACCCUGGUAGUCCACGCCCUAAACGAUGCAAACUUGGUGUGCGCCCUUCAUUGGGUGCGUGCCGUAGCUAACGCGUUAAGUUUGCCGCCUGGGGAGUACGGUCGCAAGGCUGAA
rnacentral:rRNA from 1 species